rnacentral:rRNA from 1 species
UUAGUUGCCAUCAUUCAGUUGGGCGACUCUAGCGAGACUGCCGGCGAAUAAACCGGAGGAAGGUGGGGAUGACGUCAAAUCAUCAUGCCCCUUAUGACCUGGGCUACACACGUGCUACAAUGGUUGGUACAACGAGUUGCGAGUCGGUGACGGCGAGCUAAUCUCUUAAAGCCAAUCUCAGUUCGGAUUGUAGGCUGCAACUCGCCUACAUGAAGUCGGAAUCGCUAGUAAUCGCGGAUCAGCACGCCGCGGUGAAUACGUUCCCGGGCCUU